UGAUCUAAGGUGUCACAGAGUGUACUACGAUUCUGCUUGCAGAAAGAGUAGUAUGCUCUUGUGACCCGAACAAACAUGAGCAAGAAGCGAUUUUCGUAAGAAAAGAAGCGGAUUGCGAAUGGUUGUAGAAUUGCGUAAGUUGCAGGGCAACGGAGCAAUUCGUAGAUCA
rfam:[Eubacterium rectale] ATCC 33656 chromosome, complete genome.